GUUUUCUGUGCAAGAGCUUGCCAAGAGAGGUUUGCUCCUGAGCUGCUAGAAGAAGGCCAUUUUAUAUGGGCACCUAAGGACUAUUUGAAUCUCUCUCAAAGGACAUUGUCUUGGAAACUUAUGGAAGGAGAAGAGGAAGGGGAAGGGGAAGCGAAGCAGAAGUGGAAGCGGAAGUGGAAGCAGAAGAAGAAAAGGGCCAGAGGAAGGUCACAGGCUGAAGGAGAGAAAAUUCACCUAGCAGACAAAACAUAUAGGAAGAAUAUGAGAGACGUGCAAUGGAGGUGACGAGAUGAACUCAUUCUCCAGGGAUACAAUGGCCACCAGAGAGGUUCCGAUACAGCUCCAUCCUCCUGACCACUGAUGGCAACAGAAUGUAUCUUGACAUAUUCUGGCUGCCUCUGAGCCCCUGGAGAGGAUGCCCUCUUACAAAGGGUGUGCGAAAACUUUUUUCUCUGCACCUGGACAAUGCCUGGAGGCAACCCCGCAGACUGAUCAUUGGGAAAGGAAUUGAAGUAAGGUAGCUGUCCUGAUUAGGUAUGUGCGAUGCAGAAAAAAAUGGUUCCAAACUCUGUUUGAAAGUAGGGGAAGCUGGUGCUUCAUUUCUAAAGUCAUUUCUGAAUUUUGAAGGCAAAAAGUUCAAAACUUUCUGAAACUUCCGAAUAUUCGUAUGUACCUUAGGCAGACAUGCAUGCACAUGAAGGAAAACAUUACUGUCAAUGGGGAAACUUGAGGGGCUUCUCUCUCUGUCAUUUUUUGAGCUAUCCCAAUGAAACUUGCUACAGUGGUAGAACACAUUUACCCCUGUUAGCUCAGUAAAUUUCAGAACAUUUGAUUUAUCCUCAGAUUUUUGGUGAAUUUUCAAAAUUUGUAUAAAAAACAUUUUUAAUAAUAAGAAAAACCUGUUCCUGGUUUGAAAGUGUUAUUUCCUCUUUCAUUGGGUUGUCUUUACUUUGAAAGUCAUUGUUCUACUUCAGAAACUUUGUUUUUGUGGUUAAAACUUUUUUAAAUUGGUGGAGACUCAACAAACCAUAAUGUGCUAUUUAUAGGAUGAUGUCCCUUGUGCAAAGACAAAGUUUUGGCAGUGUAAUAAGUUUUGCCAUGUUUUUAUGACAGAACCAAUUAGGAAAUGGCAUUUAUCAUCCAAGAACAGAAAUCAUAGUUCACCAUCCAACCACUCGUGGGAGAUGGCUAUCAGUCUCUGAAUAAGAAAAUCUUUUCCUGGUUUGAAAGUGUUAUUUCCUAUUUGAUUGAGCUUCCUGGGGCUGAGAGUGUGUGACUUGCCCAAGAUCACCCAGUGGGUUUUCAUGGCUGAGUGGGGAAUCAAGCCACAACUGUAGCCCAAUUUUCAAAUCUCUCUCCCUCCCCCCUCCCUCCCCCCUCUUUCUCUAAACUUCUCAUACCUUCUAAGAAUUCACAGAUAAAAACAUCAAAGUUUGGUCAAGAUGGUCAAUUUAUUAAUAAGGAAAGAGUGAGGACAAAAGGGGGUGGAGAAUGUUAAGAGGAGAGAGGAACUGGGACAUCUGGGAAAUGUAGUUUUGAAGCAGGCAUGUUCCUCCGUUACUAUUGGGGAAACUUCAGGGGCUGCUAUCUCCCUUAUUUUUAAAGCUAUUGGGGUGAAACUUGCUACAAUGGCAGAACAUAUUUAUCACUCUUUGCCCAUCAAGCUUCAUAAUGUUUAACUUAUUCACAGAAUUUUAGGGAAUUAUUAAAGCUUUUUAAAACAAUUUUUUUUAAAAGACCCCCCCCCUCCCGCUCCCUCCUGGCUGAGAGGCACAGGUUUAGCUUGACUUCUCUAGUAUUGACACACAACCACAGGUUUAUAUAUUAUUAU